AGAGUUUGAUCAUGGCUCAGGAUGAACGCUAGCUACAGGCUUAACACAUGCAAGUCGAGGGGAAACGAUAUUGGAAGCUUGCUUCCGAUAGGCGUCGACCGGCGUACGGGUGAGUAACGCGUAUCCAACCUGCCCACCACUUGGGGAUAACCUGCGAAAGUAAGACUAAUACCCAAUGACGUCUCUAGAAGACAUCUGAAAGAGAUUAAAGAUUUANCGGUGAUGGAUGGGGAUGCGUCUGAUUAGCUUGUUGGCGGGGUAACGGCCCACCAAGGCGACGAUCAGUAGGGGUUCUGAGAGGAAGGCCCCCCACAUUGGAACUGAGACACGGUCCAAACUCCUACGAGAGGCAGCA
rnacentral:rRNA from 1 species